ACGACUACAGGUGAAUCAUCGAAUCUUUGAACGCAAUUUGCACCUGAUGGCUUUUGUCAACAGGUAUACUUGUUUGAGUAUCAUUAACACUCUCUCACUACUCUGUGGGGAAUUGAGCGUCUCGAUAGAGUCGCUUUAAAGAUAGACCUGGUCGUGCACUUGAGCGCACGGUCUAUUGGGAUAACAUCCUAACAAUAGACUGUUCCUGUUGCCUGCUAUAUUUUAUAUGGCACCAUGUUCCGUCCGCAAGGACAACUAUAACUUUGAUCUCAAAUCAAGUAAGGAUACCCGCUGAAUUUAAGCAUAUCAAUAAGCGGAGG
rnacentral:rRNA from 1 species